GACGACCCACCCAAACGUUAUUCGGAAUUACUGGGCUUAAAGGGUGCGUAGGCGGCGAGGAACGUCGGGUGUGAAAUCCCUCGGCUCAACCGAGGAAUUGCGCCCUAAACUACCGUGCUCGAGGGAGAUAGAGGUGAGCGGAACUUAGGGUGGAGCGGUGAAAUGCGUUGAUAUCCUAAGGAACACCGGUGGCGAAAGCGGCUCACUGGAUCUCUUCUGACGCUGAGGCACGAAAGCUAGGGUAGCGAACGGG
rnacentral:rRNA from 1 species